UAGGUGCCGGUACCGGUGCCGGUGCCCCUAUCUGCAAUCUCGGAGGUGCCCAUGCCCAUCUUCAGGCUCGUAGAUUGCCCCCCAUUUGCAGGCUCUGAGGUUCGGAGCUCGUUGCUCCGAGCCCCCCCCUGCAAUGUGGAUCUUGUCCGGCCGCUCCGUGUAAAGAAAGCUGCAGGUGGAGAAGGACAAGAGGAGACCCACGAGGACUGCAGGUGAAGGAAGGAGAGAGGGAUGCGGGAUGCUGGGGGUGGGAUGGUGGUCGUCCCCCCCUCUACCCACCCCUAACCAUCACAAUCCCUUUUUUACCUACGGAGGAUGGAGGCUGGUUAGCCGGGGAGGAUGGAGGUAUUGCGGAGAGGGAGCUCCUUUGGUGGUGGGAGGAAGGGUGAGGCCCUUAAGGGCAUCCCCGAGCGGGAUGCGGUUACCUCUAAAGGAAAAGAGAACGCGAGGAAAACGGAAGGUGGAAAGAGAGAGACAGAGAGAAAAGGGCUGCGGCUCCAGAGAACGAAGAAAGGGCAGAGGGAGGCCGGGCCCGUGGGGAAGGAGAGGGGCUGAGGGUCUCCCCUAAACCCCCAGGAGCAGAGAGUGGGGCCCGGUGCGGUGCCUCGGUGCUGAGCAUCGAGCGAGAGUCGCUCCCUUCCCUUCUCUUCUUUACCAUCGUCUCCUCCGCGUUCGUUCAUCCCGUCCGUUAACCCCCCCCCCUAGAUCCAGGGCUGCAUUCAAAGCAAGCCAAGUUAUUAUUUAUUUGAAGCUGGAGGUUUUUGGGGUGUUGUUUGGCGUGUGGUUUUUAUUUUGCAGUCGUUUUGUUUGGCCGAGCGUUAAAUGGAUUCGUUGGGUGGGGGAGACGUCCUUUUAUGUCUCCUAAAUUACCGGUGCGAAUUCUAUUUGCUUUCAUUAUCACCGGCUUGGAUGCAUUAUUUUGACAGAGCUCGGGGGUUAUUAAAAAUAACGCGGCCUUAAUCCUCAGCACCUGCAGAACGUCGUUUCGUUUGCAAACGAAACAGAUUUAAGCUGGAAAAGGGGCUCGAUCCCCCCCCAAACCCAGGCUGUUCCUGCGUGGCUGUCUCGUAAUCCUGCUCCAAAUGAUGUUUCUAAGGGCCCGAUUCUGCCCAUAAAGCUGCUGCUCUGCUUGGGCUGCAGCCUCAGGGCCCCGCUGUAGCUGCGUGCUGGCAUUACGGAUCCCACUGCUAAUUCUUGCAUCUCUGUUUAUUCGUUUCCUCCCUCGUUCCCUUUCUAAAAGCCACAUGCCUGGAAGCCCCUGGAGAAGAGGAGGUUGCCCCUUUUGCUGCUAGUGCUGUAGACUUCAGGGGUUGGUUGUUAUCUUUGGUUAUCUAGCUGUAUGAGUGUUGUCGAUUCUUCAUAAAGCUAGAUAACCGAAAGUAAAAAUAACCCCAUUACACGCCUGAGGAGGAUGUGGAGAAGAAAGGAAAUCCAGCCAGAGGAAGAGGAGGAAAACAAAAAGAGAAAUGAAAGAGAAAGAAAGGAAGAAGAUCAAGGAAACAAGAGGCAGAAAAAAUGAAGAACCGAGAAGAGGGGAAAAAAAAAAGGCAACUUUUUGAGACUGGAAUUAAAAACCGAGCCGUCUCCGUUCCUCCUUUGCUGUGGCGCUGAGGAUGCCAUUGACUCCAGUGCAGAGAGUGGCUUCCACUGCUGUGAUGCUCCACUUGUUUCCUGGCCAGCCAAAAGCAAUGCUUGAAUCCUGGUGUGGAAGUCCAUUCAGAAUUGCCUGGAGUGGAGGCUGGAGAGGAAAACCACAACCACAGCAGAGCCUGGAUGUGGGGAGCUGCUAGCAGGACCCAUCUUGGGGACAGUCAAUGUGUGUGCCUUCCUCCAUCCUCCUCCCAGCAGCUGAUGGCCUGGAGCAGCACAGAGCAAGCCUGGCAUCGGGCUAUAGGGACACCAUGAGCACUCUGGGGAUGGGACAAAGCUCCAUACCACACUGGUGGAGAACACAAAGCUGGAAUCGAUGGAAGAAGAAGAAGGAAAGAAAGGAAACCAAAGUCUCCAAACUCAGGAGAUCUUUUAAUUGCUUACGAAUGUCUCCAUCUCAAAAAUUAUCCAAUUGAUGUUGUCGUGCUUUUUCUUUUUUUUUUCUCUUGACAGCCUGAAAUCUAAUUACUAGGCAAAUUUAAUGAUAAUGAAAUGAAGGCACUUUAGCAGAAAGCAACGGGGCCUUGUUAAUAUUUUCUCUGUCUCUGUCUUGUUCGUAUUAUUUAAGUCUAUUUAUUUUCACCACCUUCUUUCUUGCGGUAUAAAAGAAUUGCCAAAAAUAAAACUUGGAUUGCUGAAAA